rnacentral:rRNA from 1 species
UACGUAGGUGGCAAGCGUUGUCCGGAUUUACGGGGCGUAAAGAGCGCGCAGGCGGUCGUCCAAGUCGCGUGUGAAAGCCCCCGGCUCAACUGGGGAGGGUCACGCGAUACUGGUCGACUCGAAGGCAGGAGAGGGUAGUGGAAUUCCCGGUGUAGUGGUGAAAUGCGUAGAUAUCGGGAGGAACACCAGUGGCGAAGGCGACUACCUGGCCUGUUCUUGACGCUGAGGCGCGAAAGCUAGGGGAGCAAACGGG